rnacentral:rRNA from 1 species
AUUGAACGCUGGCGGCAGGCCUAACACAUGCAAGUCGAACGAGUGGCGGACGGGUGAGUAAUGUCUGGGAAACUGCCUGAUGGAGGGGGAUAACUACUGGAAACGGUAGCUAAUACAGCAUACCAUCGGAUGUGCCCAGAUGGGAUUAGCUAGUAGGUGGGGUAAAGGCUCACCUAGGCGACGAUCCCUAGCUGGUAUGAGAGGAUGACCCACCACACGGGAACUGAGAAACGGUCCCAAACCCUCCGGGGGGCGACAGUUGGGAAGAUUGACCAAUUGGCGCGAGCCUGAUGCCGCCAUGCCGCGUGUAUGAAGAAGGCCUUCGGGUUGUAAAGUACUUUCAGCGGGGAGGCGUUACCCGCAGAAGAAGCACCGGCUAACUCCGUGCCAGCCGCCGCGGUAAUUC